rnacentral:rRNA from 1 species
UACGUAGGGACCGAGCGUUGUCCGGAAUCAUUGGGCGUAAAGAGCGUGUAGGCGGCUUGUUAAGUCUUGCGUGAAAUCUCGGGGCUCAACCCCGAGCGGUCGUGAGAAACUGGCAGGCUAGAGUGCGGGAGAGGAGAGUGGGAAUUCCUGGUGUAGCGGUGGAAAUGCGCAGAUAUCAGGAAGAACACCCGUGGCGAAGGCGCUCUCUGGAACGCAACUGACGCUGAGACGCGAAAGCGUGGGGAGCAAACAGG